rnacentral:lncRNA from 1 species
AUGAAAAGGCCAAACCCCCAGAAAUACAGGAUCCCGCCCAAGGUCACAACACAGAUUCAGACCCGAGGGAACUCUUCUGAUCCCUGGACAGGUACGAUACAGGUGGCAGGUUUUUAUCUGAAGUUAUUUUGGCCCCUGGAGAAUCUUCCCCGGAAAAGCAUCAGCAGAACGAUACCAGCUUGGGGUGGACAUAUUGGGGUGAGGUUGCAGAAUCAGGGAUCUGGAGUUCCUGAUGUCGGUAAAGACUUCCACUAGUCUUCGGCUCUUAGGAUCAUCUCUCNNNNNNNNNNNNNNNNNNNNNNNNNNNNNCCGCCAUCUCCCCCUCCCCAACCUCUGGGGCUUCUCUCGCCUCCACUUUCAUUCUCCUUUCUCAGAAUGUACACAAAGACAAGUUUUUGAGGGAAAAAAACAUCUACCGAAAUCAAUGAAUUCAUGAAUUCAUCCCAGCACCCCCUCCUAAGGUGCCUGAAAUCAAGCCCGACCGCUAAAGUGCGCACUUGGAACCGACUGCGGGGCGGGGGCUACGGAGAGGAGGGAGGGGUGAGUUCCGAAACGGAGAGGCGCCAGGAAGGGAGCCCCCCCCC